AUCAGGUCUCAGUCUUUUGGCUAAGAUCAAAUGUAGUAUCUGUGCUUAUCAGUUUAAUAUCUAAUCUGUCCUCUAUCCCAGGACAAUAUAUUAAAUGGAUUUUUGACACUAGGAGUUGUACUAGGAGCUUGCUCCAUCCACUCCCAGCAUUGACCCGGUAUUGCAGUAUCUCCACAAAUGGUGAACUCCCA
ensembl:snRNA U2 U2 spliceosomal RNA